AUGAAACCAGUGGUCAGUGUCAAUACUGUCAGUGAUGACAGGACUGUCACUGUGCCCUGUCAGAUCAACAGGUCUAUGGAGAAGAAAGUCACAUGUUACCUGUACACUGGAGACACACCUGAGCCCUUCAAUUCAACAUGGACUAGAUCAACAAAGCCUAAAUCAACAGUGUGUAAUUUUUACAUAAAGUCUGAUGAUCUCGAGAGGCGUUUCCAGUCUGUGGGCAGCAGGAAUGUGAGCUGUGAUUACAGUGUGGAAACAGACACAGAGCGUCGCUCUGCACGCAGUGACAGCUAUUCUGUACCAGCUUCAUCCCCAGGAGUUUCUACAACAAGAAGUCCAGUGAUUUCUAGUACCACAGUGCUUCCACAGUCAAUCACAUAUGAGCAACAGAACACAACUUCCAGGAGCACAGCGAAAAUCACAGAUAAGAAACAGAUGACAACUUCCAGGAGCACAAAGAAAAAUAAGAAACAGAGGACAACUCCCAGGAGCACAAAGAAAAUCACAGAUAAGAAACAUAUGACAACUUCCAGGAGCGCAAAGAAAAAUAAGAAACAGAGGACAACUCCCAGGAGCACAACGAAAAUCACUGAUAAGAGCACAACAACUGCCAGGAGCACAGAGAAAAAUAAGAAACAGAGGACAACUUCCAGGAGCACAACGAAAAUCACCGAUAAGAACACAACAGCUACCAGGAGCACAGAGAAAAGUGCAAGUGUGAUUAUCAGUGUAGCAGUCACAAUGAUUGUGUUUCUGCUGGGACUAACAACGGCCUGUCUAUGGAGAAUACACAAAAAUAAGAAAUCCAAAAGGUAA
rnacentral:lncRNA from 1 species